AAAGAUUAAGCCAUGCAUGCUCGCACAACUCGAUUAUGAGUGAAGCUGCGCACGGCUCAUUAGCACGGUUUCGACCUUUUUCGGAUAUCUCAAUGGGAUAACUGCGGAAAUACUGGAGCUAAUACCUGCACUUAAAAACCCGACGUAAGUAGGGUCGCAAUUAUUAGGCCAAACCAAUCGUCCUCGUGACGUAUUGUGGCGACUCCAAAUAGCCCAGUCUAUCGUCGGUUCUAUCCGACGAAGGCCGGAAAGGGUUUCUGCCCUAUCAACUAGACGGUAGCCCAGUAGACUACCGUGGUUGUCACGGGUACCGGAGAAUUGGGGUUUGACUCCGGAGAGGGAGCCUUAGAAACGGCUACCACAUCCAAGGAAGGCAGCAGGCGCGAAACUUAUCCACUGUCAAAAAUGAGAUAGUGACUAAAAAUAUAAAAUCCCUCCCUCACGGGAGGGAUAUUUAGAUGAGUAGAGGUUAAAAAGCUCUUCGAGAAACUAAGAGAGGGCAAGUCUGGUGCCAGCAGCCGCGGUAAUUCCAGCUCUCUAAGUGUAAAUCGUUAUUGUUGCGGUUAAAAAGCUCGUAGUUGGAUUUAUGGUGGAUAGUGUGCGUUCGCUCAUUCGGGCGUCAAUGCACACGCCAUCAUUCCGGCAGUCUGCGCUAUGUGCGAAAGCAUAUACGUGACUGUCAAGUUUACCUUAAAUAAAUUAAAAUGCUCAAAAUAAGCGUAUGCUUGAAUAUCAUAUUAUGGAAUAAUGAAAUAGGACUUCGGUUCUUUUUGUUGGUUAUUGAAUCGGAGUAAUGAUUAAUAGGGAUAAUCUCGGGGGCAUUCGUAUUUCUGCGGGAGAGGUGAAAUUCUAUGAUCGCAGAAGGACGCCCUAAAGCGAAAGCAUUUGCCAAGAAUG
rnacentral:rRNA from 1 species